CCUACGGGCGGCAGCAGUGAGGAAUAUUGGUCAAUGGGCGCGAGCCUGAACCAGCCAAGCAGCGUGAAGGAUGACUGCCCUACGGGUUGUAAACUCCUUUUAUAAAGGAAUAAAGUGAGGCAUGUGUGCCUUUUUGUAUGUACUUUAUGAAUAAGGAUCGGCUAACUCCGUGCCAGCAGCCGCGGUAAUACGGAGGAUCCGAGCGUUAUCCGGAUUUAUUGGGUUUAAGGGGAGCGUAGAUGGGUUGUUAAGUCAGAUGUGAAAGUUUGAGGCUCAACCGUAAAAUUGCAAUUGAUACUGGCAGCCUUGAGUACAGUUGAGGUAGGCGGAAUUCGUGGUGUAGCGGUGAAAUGCUUAGAGAUCACGAAGAACACCGAUUGCGAAGGCAGCUUACUAGACUGCCACUGACAUUGAUGCUCGAAAGUGUGGGUAUCAAACAGGAUUAGAUACCCCUGUAGUC
rnacentral:rRNA from 1 species